rnacentral:rRNA from 1 species
UACGAAGGCCCCGAGCGUUAUCCGGAAUUAUUGGGCGUAAAGGGUGCGUAGGUGGUUUUGUGCGUCUCUUGUUAAAUUUCACUGCUCAACAGUGAAGCCGCAAGGGAAACGGCAGAACUAGAGGAUGCAAGAGGUCUGUAGAACUCACGGUGUAGGGGUGAAAUCCGUUGAUAUCGUGGGGAAUACCAAAGGCGAAGGCAGCAGACUGGUGCAUUUCUGACACUGACGCACGAAAGCGUGGGGAGCAAAAAGG